AGCCGGCACCGCCGCUGAGAGACCCGGGCACAGAGAGCACCUGGGCACAGCCACAGAGAGACCUGGGCACAACUGGCACUGCCACUGAGAGACCCGGGCACAGAGAGCACCUGGGCACAGCCGGCACCACUGCUGAGAGACCUGGGCACAGCCACAGAGAACCCAGGCACAGCUGGCACCGCCGCUGAGAGCCCCGGGCACAGCCACAGAGAGCCCUGGGCAUGCACUGCCAGCACCCCAAGCACAGCUGGCACCACUGCUGAGAGCCCUGGGCACAGCCACAGAGCACCCCAGGCACAGCCACUGAGAGCCCCGAGCACAGCUGGCACUGCCAGCACCCCAGGCACAGCUGGCACCACCACUGAGAGCCCUGGGCACAGCCAGCACUGCCAGCACCCCAGGCACAGCCGGAACUGCUGCUGAGAGUCCUGGGCACAGCCACAGAGCACCCCGGGCACAGCCGGCACCACCGCUGAGCUGGGCUGCUGCAGCAGGGAGAAUUCCUGCUGUGAGCCUGAGGCUGCUUCAGGGCAGUUCUGCUGGUGAGCCUGGGGCUACUCCCAGAGGGAAUUCUGCUAGUGAGCCUCAGAGGAAGUUCCUGCUGUGAGCCUCAGAGGGAAUUCCUGCUGGUGAGCUUGGGGCUGCUUCAGGGCAGUUCUGCUGGUGAGCCCCAGAGGGAAUUCCUGCUGGUGAGCUUCCCCCAGGGCUGCUUCUAGUGGGAAUUAUUCCUGGUGAGCCCCAGGGCUGCUUCCCUAAGGAGUUCCAGCAAGUGAGCUCCCUGGGGCUGAUUCCAGGGAGAAUUCCUGCUGGUGAGCUCCCCCCAGGGCUGCUUCCCUUAGGAAUUCCUGUCUCUGGCACCACUGGUGAGCCAAUUCUGCUUCAGUCAGAAUUCCCACUGCCAGCAGAGCUCCUUCCCCGUGGCUUGUGCAGUACCAGGGUUAAUCUGGCUCAUGAAGCACCCCUGACUGGAGCCACGUUCUGCCAGCAGUUUGUGCUCAUCCAUGGAUCCAGAGGAAAGGCUGGCAGGGUGGGAGGUGGUGCCAGGAGUGCCCUGCGCUGGGCUGGCACUGUCACCCUCACUUGGUUCUGCUGUCCUGCUCUUCAGUGAUUCACAUCCCCCAGAGCAGUGCAGUGUUUGGGACUCCAGUCCUGCAGGCAGCAGCUCUGUGCCCCGGUCCUUGGAAUCCUGUGCCCCGGUCCUUGGAAUCCUGUGCCCCAGGUCCUUGGAAUCCCGUGCCCCGGUCCUUGCAAUCCUGUGCCCCGGUCCUUGCAAUCCUGUGCCCCGGUCCUUGGAAUCCUGUGCCCCGCAGUGCUUCCCUGUGGAACUGGAAAGCUCCUCAGCCCCCUGGGAGUGCUUUGGUGCUAACAACACCCUCUUUUCAUACUGGCUCAAUGAUGUUGUACAGGUGGGAGGUGACUUUUUUUUUUAGACCUGUUGCCUAUAUUAGGUUCUCUGUGUAUAUAUAUUUUGCAGUGUUACAGUACAGUAUGGGAAAAUGGCCUUCCUAGCCUUCACACUUUACCCACAAUGUAAAUAAGCAUUUGUUUAAUACAGGUGAAGAUAUAUACAGAAAAUUCAAAACUUGAAUUCUAUCAAAAAAAAAAGACUUGUGUAGAAAAUUCUGAUAAAUGUGAAAGUAUUUAGCUCUGUGCAUUGAGAGUAGUAUAUUUUUAUCUGUGCAAUGCUGUGUGCAGGCCACCAGCUCAGAAGACAUUUCCUUUAUAUCCAUUUGAAGUGGUUGAAAAUUCUUUACUCAGGAUCUUUGACACUCUGAAGAAUUGGUAGUUUGUCAGUCUGCAUGCUUGAUGAACAGAGCAUUUAAAAACCAAUUAGCAGAGCCCCACAGCCCAGUAGUAUCAGUUCUAGUGGUAUAUCUGAGCUGUUACUCUCAUGCUCCCUAAUUUCAUUAAAGUAUUUGAUUUUCUAUUACAUUCA